rnacentral:rRNA from 1 species
UUUUAAUAGGCGACCGAUGCGUACAGAGGCAGCAUACAUACACUCUCAGUAGUAGUAUAUUGUGUAUCAUCUAUCUGUUAUAUUGAUCCUGUAUGGCCAACAUAAGACGAAACCAACCACCACAAACACCUAGAACAAACUUCCCCGCCGCCGGAGCGACGAUGAUGGCCGGGUCCUUUUUGUUCGCGUGCUUGGCGGCAGCCCUGCAGCCAACGUCGGCCGCCGAGGCCGGAAGGGGUGGGAUCUUGCAUAUCCCUUCCGCCGCCGACCUGGCCCGGGCUCGCUGCCCUUCCAGGUGCGGUGGUGUUGCCAUUCACUACCCGUUCGGCAUAGGGCCGGGCUGCUUCAGGCAAGGCUUCGAGCUCACCUGCAACCGCACCGCUGGUCAUAAGAGGCUCUUUCUGGCCAACACUACCACUGAGGUCCUUGCCGUGUAUCCCGGAGAAACUUUGCUUCGAGUCCCUCCUAUCCACUUCAACGUCACCAUGAAACCAGGUAUGAACGACACCUAUAACAUGUCAUGGGAGGCCCCUCUUAAAGGUGUUAUGGCUUCUGAAGACACUAGCUUGUUCGUUGUUGGCUGUGGUGUGGGUGUCUACUUGUUCGGCCAUGAUACCACCGAUCCCAUCGGUACUUGCAUGAGUAUUUGCCUAGACAACAAAGAGGCCAUGAAGGAGGCAAAUGCAAACCACUAUGGCGAUGUUGGGAUGGGUAGUUGUUCCAUUGAUUUGCAGCAGGACGUGCCAGCAUUUGGGUUCACAGUUGACCGCCUCAAAGGCGUCUCAGCACUAUCAGGUCAAGCUCAAUGGUUCUCUAAUACAAUCAAAGUUUUCCUGGCGGGGGAUUACAGAUUUGAUGUUGCCGACAUCUAUUCAAGUCGGGUAGACAAAAGAAACAUUGAUGCGCCAGUGUUUCAAAUGUCCAUCACGGAUCAACCAAGCUGUGAAAAUGCUCAGAAGAACAUGUCAAGCUAUGCUUGUAGCCAUGACAGCAAUUGCCAGGAUGUGCCAUAUGGAGGAGGCUACUCCUGUUAUUGCGGCCUUCACACAACCGGCGGCAAUCCGUAUCUUAUGGAUGGUUGUAAAGGUCAGCAAUUUCCUCUUUAACCACGAAUAUAAAAAUAUUGAACUGCCAUGUCAUGAAUAUUGGACUCAUGUAUGCAUGAUUGAAUAUUAUGGUAAUUUUUGCACCAAGAUUGUAACUUUUCCUCUCCUUUUCUAUGCUCAUCAUCAUUUAAAAAAACAUUUUUGAUUCCUAGUUUAAAUAUAACUAGUUCUAAAUACAACAAAGCAAGCACUAAUUGUUUCUUGCCCAAGACUCAAAAUUGCCGAUCAUAGAAGUUUGAAAAUCAGGACACGCCUUUUCUUUAUAAUCUUUUGACACAUUUGGGUGUACUACUGUUAUUGAUUAUAUUUUUACUAGUGCCAGAUGGUGUAACAUAAUUCCCAGUUCUCAUAUUGUCUCUACUAGUGGAGAAUUCUUGACAAGGUGUUAACCAGACUUAUCAUGUCUUCGUUACUCCCCCGCAUAUAGCAUGUUUUAGUGUUGGGAACCUGGGAUUUGCAAAAAUUGGCCGAUUAAUAGUCGACCGAUAAAAUCGAUUGAUCGUCCGAUUUCCGAUUAAUAUCUAAUCGUAGGCUGAACCAGGCGCUAACGAUAAGCGAUAUCCUCAACAUUGUCGGUGCACAAGACAUAGUCGUAGUUCUAGGCCGUAAAUUUUACUAGCUAAAUGUGAACUAUAUGUAGUAAUAAAAAUAUAUAUUUAGAAACAAUAUUUGCAUAGGAAUUCAGUGAUAUACUUUUGUUGACAUGUAACACUGUUUUAGGUCGAUGCCGCUACCUACUUUAAUAAAAUGGUUGUGUGCAUCGUUUGAUGCAGAGGGCGCGGGUAAUCCUCUUUUUCGAAGAAAAAAGCAUUGCUUUAGGUAGUCAAAUCAAUGACCUAGAACUACGCACAUGUCCUAUGCACCGAGACAGAGGGAGUAGUAUCCACCCAAUUAAUGGGAUUGGUUUUCCACAAGUAGUAGCUCAUUUCUUUAUAAUGUUUUAGCUAGCAAUUAGACUUGGUAUUAUUACUUAAUGAUUUAAUAAGUUGUAGAUCUAGUCUAGAUAGGAUGACCAUUAAUUCGCAUAAUCUUAAUGUAACUUCUCCUGUGGCAGUAUCCCGGUGUGACUUCUUUCUAUGUCAAUCUACUUGCAGUGCAAUACAAUCCUAAUCAUAAAGGAGGUUGCACCAAAUUUUGCGGGAACACAAGUAUGCACUUCCCCUUUGGUCUUGAAGAAGGUUGCUACGCUGCAGAAAAAUUUCGACUUAACUGCACAUCAGAAAACAUCACAAUUCUUGAUCGAGGGGGUAACAAUAUUUAUCAAGGCGCCAAAUUAAUUGUGGACAACAUUUCAGUGAAUGAAGGAUAUCUUACUGUUAGAGAAACGAAAAAUAACUCAAGGUAUGGUAAUGAAGAGCUCGAGGUAAUUGGGUAUAGAAGCAAUGGGGACCUGGAAGUAGAAGACAUCUCUUCAGAUGGUUUUCAUUUAUCCGAAGAAUACGGUAUGAAGUUGUUGUGGUAUGUCGAUAAUUUGACAUGUUCGAAGGCUAGGAGCAAGCAAAGAAGAGCUACGUACGCAUGUCGUAGCAGCAAUAGCACUUGCAUGAUGGUCAACCAACCAGGCUACAAGAAUGCGACAAUCCAGCUCGGCUAUCGUUGCCAGUGCUCUCAAGGUUUUGAUGGAAAUCCAUACAUACUAAACGGAUGCCAAGAUGUCAAUGAGUGUUUGGUGAUGAAUAUUUGCAACGGCCCUUGCCUAAAUUAUCCUGGAGGCUAUAAUUGCAGUGAGUGCACACAUGGAAAAGAGUUUGAUCCAAUAGAACUCAAAUGUGUCAUGUCAACAAAGAGACACAAUCUUCUCUUAGGUAUCGCAAUUGGAAUUAGUUGUGGCCUUGGUGCCAUAAUUCUUGUGGUAGGUGCCACAGUACUCAUCAACAAGUGGAAGAGAGGCAUACAGAAGAGAAUUCGAAGGACAUACUUCAAGAAAAAUCAAGGCCUACUCUUGGAACAACUAAUAUUAGAUGAAAGUGCCACAGAUAAAACAAAGAUAUUCUCUUUGGAGGAAUUAGAUAAAGCAACAAACAACUUUGAUGUCAGUCGUAUACUUGGUCGUGGAGGACAUGGCACAGUUUACAAAGGGAUUCUAUCCGACCAACGUGUAGUGGCCAUAAAAAAGUCUAAGCUGGUGGAGCAAACUGAGAUUGACCAGUUUAUCAACGAGGUUGCCAUCCUGUCACAAAUCAUUCAUCGGAAUGUGGUCAAGCUUUUUGGUUGUUGUCUCGAAACAGAAGUGCCUUUGCUAGUUUAUGAGUUCAUAUCCAAUGGCACCCUAUAUGAUCUUCUUCACAUUGAUGUAAGCGUUCAAUGCUUACUUUUAUGGGAGGAUCGCAUUAGGAUUGCAGUAGAAGCUGCGGGUGCUCUUGCUUAUCUCCACUCAGCUGCUGCGAUACCAAUAUUCCAUAGAGAUGUCAAAUCUUCCAAUAUACUCCUAGAUGGCAACUUUACUACCAAGGUUUCUGACUUUGGUGCUUCGAGGUCUUUAUCGCUUGAUCAGACACAUGUAGUGACAAUUGUACAAGGAACUUUUGGUUACUUAGACCCCGAGUACUACCACACCGGGGAGCUAAGUGAGAAGAGCGAUGUUUAUAGCUUUGGAAUUAUACUGGUGGAGCUUCUGGUGAGAAAGAAGCCAAUUUUUAUUAAUGAGCAAGGUAUAAAACAAAGCUUGGCUCAUUACUUUGUGGAAGGACUUCAGCACGGAGUCCUCAUGGAAAUCAUUGAUCCCCAAGUUGCAGAAGAAGCGAACCAGAAUGAAAUUGAUGAUAUUGCCUCAGUUGCGGAAGCAUGCUUGAAAACCAAAGGAAGAGAAAGACCUACCAUGAAAGAGGUAGAAAUGAAGUUGCAACUCCUAAGAACUAGAAGAUUAAGGAGUCAACUUCCUCCCAUAAAUGAUGGAGAGGUCGAGUCACUUGGGUACCUAAAUGGCGCUAGCUCUCAUGCACAGAGCAACAACAUUCUCAGUAAUGUUAGCUUAACAUCUACAUGCAUCUCUGGAAAGUACAGUCUGGAGCAAGAGUUCUUGAACUCGGCCAGCUUGCCACGCUAGCGAAGCACACAAUGGGAUGAUCAUCUGCUUACUAAGCUUCUCAGGUGCAUGUUAGUUACCCUAGACGUACUUAUAUAGAAAAACUAUGUAAUAUACGUAGUUCCUUUUAGUGGGAGUAUACCAUGUAAAUUCCUGAAUUGUGUUUGUAGCUUAUCUUAUGUUGUAAUUUCUUUAGACGACAACUCGUUGCAAUUAAGCUACGGUGGUGAAUAAAGGUAUUUCACCGUGUGUGUUUUUUGAAAAACAAUUGUCGUACACAUUUCUCACCGCUCAUAUUUUUAUGUUUU